AUCCUACGGGGCGCAGCAGUGGGGAAUAUUGCACAAUGGGGGAAACCCUGAUGCAGCGACGCCGCGUGGGCGAGGAAGUACCUCGGUAUGUAAAGCCCUAUCAGCAGGGAAGAAACAGGACAGUACCUGACUAAGAAGCCCCGGCUAACUACGUGCCAGCAGCCGCGGUAAUACGUAGGGGGCAAGCGUUAUCCGGAUUCACUGGGCGUAAAGGGAGCGCAGGCGGCAUGGCAAGUCAGUAGUGAAAUCCAUGGGCUUAACCCAUGAACUGCUAUUGAAACUGUCGAGCUUGAGUGAAGUAGAGG
rnacentral:rRNA from 1 species